UCGGAUUGUAGGCUGCAACCCGCCUGCAUGAAGUUGGAAUUGCUAGUAAUCGCGGAUCAGCAUGCCGCGGUGAAUACGUUCCCGGGGAUUGAACACACCGCCCGUCACACCAUGAGAGUCGGGAACACCCAAAGUCCGUAGUCUAACCGCAAGGAGGACGCGGCCUAAGGUGGGUUCGAUAAUUGGGGUGAAGUCGUAACAAGGUAUC
rnacentral:rRNA from 1 species